rnacentral:rRNA from 1 species
GACGAACGCUGGCGGCGUGCUUAACACAUGCAAGUCGUACGGUAAGGCCCUUUCGGGGGUACACGAGUGGCGCACGGGUGAGUAACACGUGAGUAACCUGCCCACAACUUUGGGAUAACGCUAGGAAACUGGUGCUAAUACUGGAUAUGUGCUCCUGCUGCAUGGUGGGGGUUGGAAAGCUCCGGCGGUUGUGGAUGGACUCGCGGCCUAUCAGCUUGUUGGUGGGGUAGUGGCCUACCAAGGCGGCGACGGGUAGCCGGCCUGAGAGGGUGACCGGCCACAUUGGGACUGAGAUACGGCCCAGACGCCUACGGGAGGCAGCAGUGGGGAAUAUUGCACAAUGGGCGCAAGCCUGAUGCAGCAACGCCGCGUGCGGGAUGACGGCCUUCGGGUUGUAAACCGCUUUCAGCAGGGACGAAGCUUUUUGUGACGGUACCUGCAGAAGAAGCACCGGCUAACUACGUG